rnacentral:rRNA from 1 species
UACGAAGGGUGCAAGCGUUAAUCGGAAUUACUGGGCGUAAAGCGCGCGUAGGUGGUUUGUUAAGUUGGAUGUGAAAUCCCCGGGCUCAACCUGGGAACUGCAUCCAAAACUGGCAAGCUAGAGUAUGGUAGAGGGUGGUGGAAUUUCCUGUGUAGCGGUGAAAUGCGUAGAUAUAGGAAGGAACACCAGUGGCGAAGGCGACCACCUGGACUGAUACUGACACUGAGGUGCGAAAGCGUGGGGAGCAAACGGG